rnacentral:tRNA from 1 species
GCGUAUUCCUUACAAAUUCUAAAAUAAUAAGGGAAGGUGGCAGAGCGGUUGAAUGCACCGGUUUUGAAAACCGACGUAGUUUAGACUACCGGGGGUUCGAAUCCCUCCCUUUCCG